AUCUUACAAUACACAACACCGUUUCUCUUAUUCAACUCGUGAAGAAAUAGUGCACGUCUCUUCACUGUCUCAAAGUGGAUCGUGAAAUCUUGAAAACAGAACCUACCCCAACGAUGUUACGCCUCACAUGUUCAAUGAACUCACGAGAACCGCUUCAAGGGGUUUAAUUUCGGCUUGACUGAUAUGUGUGGCCAAUUCCAUUUGAAAACCAACGUCGCAUCGCACGAAUGUGUAACAUCGAGAUUCAUCAAAGAUGCAAAUUUCAUUGGAAUUUUUGAGUAUUGGAUUUGAGGUUCUCUUUGAAGUUCUAUGCAGAGAUGUAAAGAUGGCACUCGCAGCAGUACAAGAGCAAAAGAUCUUAUCUAUUUGCUUUGUGUAAUUUAGUGUCGCGUUGCUAGAAGAUCUAAUUUGUUAGCGUGGUAUUUUUAGGCAAUAACGUGUCUAUUCUAUGAAUUUGCAUUG